rnacentral:rRNA from 1 species
UACGGAGGGUGCAAGCGUUAUCCGGAUUCACUGGGUUUAAAGGGUGCGUAGGUGGGCAGGUAAGUCCGUGGUGAAAUCCCCGAGCUUAACUCGGGAACUGCCAUGGAUACUAUUUGUCUUGAAUAUUGUGGAGGUAAGCGGAAUAUGUCAUGUAGCGGUGAAAUGCUUAGAUAUGACAUAGAACACCAAUUGCGAAGGCAGCUGGCUACACGAGCAUUGACACUCAGGCACGAAAGCGUGGGGAUCAAACAGG